AGAAGAUUAGCAAAGGUGCUAAUCCAGUGGAAAUCAGGAGAGCUUGUGAGAACUGCUUUAUUGGAUGCUGCUGGUGUGGCCUCUCUGUUAACUACAGCAGAAGUUGUAGUCACAGAAAUUCCUAAAGAAGAGAAGGACCCUGGAAUGGGUGCAAUGGGUGGAAUGGGAGGUGGUAUGGGAGGUGGCAUGUUCUAACUCCUAGACUAGUGCUUUACCUUUAUUAAUGAACUGUGACAGGAAGCCCAAGGCAGUGUUCCUCACCAAUAACUUCAGAGAAGUCAGUUGGAGAAAAUGAAAAAAAGGCUGGCUGAAAAUCACUAUAACCAUCAGUUACUGGUUUCAGUUGACAAAAUAUAUAAUGGUUUACUGCUGUCAUUGUCCAUGCCUACAGAUAAUUUAUUUUGUAUUUUUGAAUAAAAAACAUUUGUACAUUCCUGAUACUGGGUACAAGAGCCAUGUACCAAUGUACUGCUUUCAACCUAAAUC
rnacentral:lncRNA from 1 species